rnacentral:rRNA from 1 species
UACAGAGGUGGCAAGCGUUGUUCGGAAUUACUGGGCGUAAAGGGCGCGUAGGCGGUCUUUUAAGUUCCGUGUGAAAUCCCUCGGCUCAACUGGGGGAACUGCACGGGAAACUGGAAGGCUUGAGUCCGGAAGAGGUGAGUGGAACUCCGAGUGUAGAGGUGAAAUUCGUAGAUAUUCGGAAGAACACCAGUGGCGAAGGCGGCUCACUGGUCCGGUACUGACGCUGAGGUGCGAAAGCGUGGGGAGCAAACAGG